rnacentral:rRNA from 1 species
AACGGCCGCGGUAUCUUGACCGUGCAAAGGUAGCGUAAUCACUUGUCUUUUAAAUAAAGACCCGUAUGAAUGGCAAAACGAGGGCUUAACUGUCUCCCCCUCCCAGUCAAUGAAAUUGAUCCCCCCGUGCAGAAGCGGGGAUAUUAACAUAAGACGAGAAGACCCUAUGGAGCUUUAGACACACCGACAGAUCAUGUAAAGCCCCUUAACUAAAAGACAAAACCAACUGACCCCCGUCGCGAUGUUUUUGGUUGGGGCGACCCCGGAGUAUUAAAAAACCCCCGAGCGGAGCGGAGACACCUCAGCUUCAUAUGUAAGAGCUACAGCUCACAAAAUCAGAACCUCUGACCCAAAGAUCCGAUAUUUCGAUCAACGGACCGAGUUACCCUAGGGAUAACAGCGCAAUCCUCUUUAAGAGUCCCUAUCGACAAGGGGGUUUACGACCUCGAUGUUGGAUCAGGACAUCCUAAU